AAUAUAAAAUAUAAGAUAAAAUCCUAUAAAAUGGGGUUUCACAAUCAAUCUUAUCUUUUGGGUGUUCAAUGCAUUGUUUUAGUCUUAGUUUCAGGACUGGUUAUGGAGUCUUCACCAUUAGUGCUUGCAAGACGAGAUUGCCUUGUGGGGAGUGGAGGAAGAUUUUGUUGCAUAGGGAACUGUAGUGAUACCUGCGCUGUAGAAUGUGUGCAUGAAGGAUAUUAUAGAGCUGGAUAUUGUCACAAAGUACUUUUUAUGCAUCUAUGUUGUUGUACAAUAUGAAUUCUUUUGUAUGCAAUCAAGGAUUCAUAAAUUUAAAAUAUUAGUCUAAUAGUGUGUUUAAUGUUUCUCACUUUUUCUUCAUAAAAAGUUGUUGAAAAAUCAAUUAUUAAUAAGACAAUUUAAAUGAAA